CUCUUCCUGGUUAAAUAGGAGGUAUAACCUGCCCAAUGAAAAAUUUUUAAUGGCCGCGGUAUUUUGACCGUGCAAAGGUAGCAUAAUCAUUAGUCUUUUAAUUGGAGGCUGGAAUGAAUGGUUGAACGAGAUAAUAACUAUCUUUAUUUUAUUAAUUUUGAAUUUAAUUUUUUAGUCAAAAAGCUUAAAUUUCUUUUUGGGACGAGAAGACCCUAUAGAAUUUUAUAUUUAAAGUCUGUUAUUUAUGUUUUAUAUUUUUAUAACAGUUUUAAUUAUUUUGUUGGGGUGAUUAAAAGAUAAUUGUAACUCUUUUUUUAUUAAUUAUUUAUUUAUUUAUAUAUAUAUAUUGAUCCACAUUUGGUGAAUAUAAGACUAAAUUACC
rnacentral:rRNA from 1 species